CCUUACCUGGUCUUGACAUCCACGGAAUUUGGCAGAGAUGCCUUAGUGCCUUCGGGAACCGUGAGACAGGUGCUGCAUGGCUGUCGUCAGCUCGUGUUGUGAAAUGUUGGGUUAAGUCCCGCAACGAGCGCAACCCUUAUCCUUUGUUGCCAGCGGUCCGGCCGGGAACUCAAAGGAGACUGCCAGUGAUAAACUGGAGGAAGGUGGGGAUGACGUCAAGUCAUCAUGGCCCUUACGACCAGGGCUACACACGUGCUACAAUGGCAUAUUCUUAGAGAAGCGACCUCGCGAGAGCAAGCGGACCUCAUAAAGUAUGUCGUAGUCCGGAUUGGAGUCUGCAACUCGACUCCAUGAAGUCGGAAUCGCUAGUAAUCGUGGAUCAG
rnacentral:rRNA from 1 species